UUGCAACCAAAGUCCUGGGUUGGGUCGUGACACCACGCCGUUGUAGCCUCUCCUCACCGCCCCCGCCUCUCUCUCCUUCCCUUGCCGAUCGACGCCUACUCGUCGUCGUUGACUCGUUGCGUCGAAAAUGGCUUUAACCCGGUUAAUUGAACGGUUUGGGUACAAAAAGCUGAAAUGGGUUGUGGGAGACAAGGGGAAUGGGUCGGGAAAACCAGAGGUUUAUUUAUCUGCUGUUCUACAGAAACUAGUAAGAGUAUGAUGACUAUAAACUUUCUUUUGAGUUUCAGUCUUGCCCAGAGAUAUAUGAGGGAUAUGUCCCCAUCGCUUACGGCGACUAUUUGAACAAGAUGUCCAUGAAUGGUGAAUGGGGUGAUCAUGUCACUUUGUAGGCUGCUGCAGAUUCUCUGAGUUGGCUUGGCACAAGAGCAGAACAACAUGGAUUGGUGAUCGAUCUCAUGAAUCUCAAAGAGUGCCUAGGGAACCAAUUAUGAGAUAUUUGGUGAUCAGAUAUCUAGCAAUAAUUUUGAACUAAAUUUUGCUGGGAAUUUUGUACUUUCUAGUGGUUGGUUGCUUGAACGUCAAUCUCAGCAGAAUAAUAUGGGGAUCAAGAGUCAGUGUGAUGAGAAAAUGUCCGAUUUUGUCUUUUGUCAGAAAUUUCUUGGAGAGAGGCAAAAUAUGUUCAAAGAAUUCAAGAAC